CCUACGGGUGGUAGCAGUGGGGAAUAUUGGACAAUGGGCGAAAGCCUGAUCCAGCCAUGCCGCGUGUGUGAAGAAGGCCUUCGGGUUGUAAAGCACUUUCAGUGGGGAAGAAAGCCUUGGGGCUAAUACCCUCGAGGAAGGACAUCACCCACAGAAGAAGCACCGGCUAACUCCGUGCCAGCAGCCGCGGUAAUACGGAGGGUGCGAGCGUUAAUCGGAAUUACUGGGCGUAAAGCGCGCGUAGGCGGUCUGAUAAGCCGGUUGUGAAAGCCCCGGGCUCAACCUGGGAACGGCAUCCGGAACUGUCCGGCUAGAGUGCAGGAGAGGAAGGUAGAAUUCCCGGUGUAGCGGUGAAAUGCGUAGAGAUCGGGAGGAAUACCAGUGGCGAAGGCGGCCUUCUGGACUGACACUGACGCUGAGGUGCGAAAGCGUGGGUAGCAAACAGGAUUAGAUACCCCAGUAGUC
rnacentral:rRNA from 1 species